rnacentral:sRNA from 1 species
GGCUUCAGCAGAUGGAGUUCCCAGCAUAUCCGUCAUCAGAUCCAA